AUACGGAGGGUGCAAGCGUUAUCCGGAUUCAUUGGGUUUAAAGGGUGCGCAGGCGGAAUGAUAAGUCAGUGGUGAAAUCCUACAGCUUAACUGUAGAACUGCCAUUGAUACUGUCAUUCUUGAGUACACUUGAAGUGGGCGGAAUGUAUCAUGUAGCGGUGAAAUGCAUAGAUAUGAUACAGAACUCCGAUAGCGAAGGCAGCUCACUAAAUUGUAACUGACGCUCAGGCACGAAAGCGUGGGGAGCAAACAGGAUUAGAUACCCCAGUAGUCC
rnacentral:rRNA from 1 species